GNGUAGAUGGAACAGGUGCAGAAGGACAGAU
rnacentral:piRNA from 1 species